GAUGAACGCUGGCGGCGUGCCUAGUACAUGCAAGUCGAGCGAACAGACGAGGAGCUUGCUCCUCUGACGUUAGCGGCGGACGGGUGAGUAACACGUGGAUAACCUACCUAUAAGACUGGGAUAACUUCGGGAAACCGGAGCUAAUACCGGAUAAUAUAUUGAACCGCAUGGUUCAAUAGUGAAAGACGGUUUUGCUGUCACUUAUAGAUGGAUCCGCGCCGCAUUAGCUAGUUGGUAAGGUAAUGGCUUACCAAGGCGACGAUGCGUAGCCGACCUGAGAGGGUGAUCGGCCACACUGGAACUGAGACACGGUCCAGACUCCUACGGGAGGCAGCAGUAGGGAAUCUUCCGCAAUGGGCGAAAGCCUGACGGAGCAACGCCGCGUGAGUGAUGAAGGUCUUCGGAUCGUAAAACUCUGUUAUUAGGGAAGAACAAAUGUGUAAGUAACUAUGCACGUCUUGACGGUACCUAAUCAGAAAGCCACGGCUAACUACGUG
rnacentral:rRNA from 1 species